CGGGUGUGAAUUAGCGGCGAACGGCUGAGGAACACGUGAAGAAUCUGCCUUCAACUCUGGGGUAACUCCGGGAAACCGGGGCUAAUACCGGAUAUGAGCCUUGAUCGCAUGAUCGGGGCUGGAAAGUUUUUCGGUUGAAGAUGACUUCGCGGCCUAUCAGCUUGUUGGUGAGGUAAUGGCUCACCAAGGCGACGACGGGUAGCCGGCCUGAGAGGGCGACCGGCCACACUGGGACUGAGACACGGCCCAGACUCCUACGGGAGGCAGCAGUGGGGAAUAUUGGGCAAUGGAGGAAACUCUGACCCAGCGACGCCGCGUGAGGGAUGAAGGCCUUCGGGUUGUAAACCUCUUGCAGUAGGGAAGAAGCGAAAGUGACGGUACCUACAGAAGAAGCACCGGCUAACUAUGUGCCAGCAGCCGCGGUAAUACAUAGGGUGCAAGCGUUGUCCGGAAUUAUUGGGCGUAAAGAGCUCGUAGGUGGUUCGAUACGUCGGAUGUGAAAAUCAGGGGCUCAACCCCUGACCUGCAUCCGAUACGGUCGAGCUAGAGUUUGGUAGGGGAGACUGGAAUUCCUGGUGUAGCGGUGGAAUGCGCAGAUAUCAGGAGGAACACCGAUGGCGAAGGCAGGUCUCUGGGCCAAUACUGACACUGAGGAGCGAAAGCGUGGGGAGCGAGCAGGAUUAGAUACCCUGGUAGUCCACGCCGUAAACGGUGGGCGCUAGUUGUGCGAACCUUCCACGGUUUGUGCGACGCAGCUAACGCAUUAAGCGCCCCGCCUGGGGAGUACGAUCGCAAGAUUAAAACUCAAAGGAAUUGACGGGGCCCCGCACAAGCAGCGGAGCAUGCGGCUUAAUUCGACGCAACGCGAAGAACCUUACCAAGGCUUGACAUAUACAGGAAUAUGGCAGAGAUGUCAUAGCCCGCAGGUCUGUAUACAG
rnacentral:rRNA from 1 species